UUGGCCUCCCAGUUUAGUCCAGUGCUCUGCACACGAGGAAGAAAGCCUGAGGUAAAGAUGAAUUUCCAGUUGGCACCCGUUCACCUCCCUGGAAGAGUCAGAAAAAAGUGAGAGGACGUUGAAACACAUUUUUCAAGUACUGAAUGAAG